UAAAAGCACGUGAAACCGUUGAAAGGGAAACGCGCUCGGCUAGCAAUGCGCGUCUGUGGUUCAGCCGGCUAGUCUUGUCGAGUUGCCGUUGUGUGGAUCCGAAUGGACUACCUGCGGUGGCGGCGGUGGGCGAGCUAUGGUGCACUCCACGGGCGUGCGCGUCAGCGUCGGUUCUCGACGGACGACAAGGUGCGUGGAAAAGGUAGCUCGGUCUUCGGACUGAGUGUUACAGAUCCGUGUGCUGGGUUCGUCGUGGGACCGAGGAGAGAGAUGAUCGCUGCGGCACCUGCCUCUCGGGGCUAGCCAGCUGUUGCCAGGUGUGCGCCAGAUGCUGAGGACUGCACGCAGUGCUCGGUGUUGAGGUGUGAUCUGGUGGUGGUGUGGGUAUAGAGGUGCCUAGGACGCUGGCGUCCAAAUGGCCGUGCGCGA
rnacentral:rRNA from 1 species